GACGAACGCUGGCGGCGUGCUUAACACAUGCAAGUCGAACGGAAAGGCCCUGCUUUUGUGGGGUGCUCGAGUGGCGAACGGGUGAGUAACACGUGAGUAACCUGCCCUUGACUUUGGGAUAACUUCAGGAAACUGGGGCUAAUACCGGAUAGGAGCUCCUGCUGCAUGUGGGGGUUGAAAAGUUUCGGCGGUUGGGGAUGGACUCGCGGCUUAUCAGCUUGUUGGUGGGGUAGUGGCUUACCAAGGCUUUGACGGGUAGCCGGCCUGAGAGGGUGACCGGCCACAUUGGGACUGAGAUACGGCCCAGACUCCUACGGGAGGCAGCAGUGGGGAAUAUUGCACAAUGGGCGGAAGCCUGAUGCAGCAACGCCGCGUGCGGGAUGACGGCCUUCGGGUUGUAAACCGCUUUCGCCUGUGACGAAGCGUGAGUGACGGUAAUGGGUAAAGAAGCACCGGCUAACUACGUG
rnacentral:rRNA from 1 species